rnacentral:misc_RNA from 1 species
CGGUGAAUACGUUUCCGGGUCUUGUACACACCGCCCGUCACACCACGAGAGUUUGUAACACCCGAAGUCGGUGAGGUAACCUUUUGGAGCCAGCCGCCGAAGGUGGGACAGAUGAUUGGGGUGAAGUCGUAACAAGGUAGCCGUAUCGGAAGGUGCGGCUGGAUCACCUCCUUUCUAAGGAGAAUAGARACGUGACGUAUUUUGGUCAGUUUUGAGAGGUCAACUCUCAACGAUAGAUUGUUCAUUGAAAACUAGAUAACAAGUAAAGCAAGGUUAAACCAUAUAACUCUCAUUUARUGAGAAAACCGAGUAAACGAUCGCUACAACASUGUUAGUGUUGAAAUAACCAAUCAAUGGUUAAGUUAGAAAGGGCGCACGGUG